CAGCAGAGCCGUCGGAUGCGCACGAAGCCGGCCUAGGUUUCGCGUAUCUCCUCUCCGGCCACCGCCGCGCCCCGCGACUCCGGCGCUCCCCCCACAAGCAAGCAGAGCGAGAGCAGGUGACCGCGACGAUGACCAGCAACUCGCCACAGCGGUAGCCAGCGCCCCCUGAGAACCCUAGCCAGCACCCACCUCACGCCCUCUGCGACACCUCCUCGCCAUGGCAGCUGUCAUCCACACGAAUGCGCAACUCCAAAACCUGCAGAACCUCCAAGGUCAGAUUCUUGUCAUUAGAUUGGUGACACUGGGGGAGUUGGGGACGGCGCCCGACAUGUAUCAUCUCCUUCAUUCUCUCGUGAGGGCAAGGCACUGGACGUGUGAAAAGCUGGGCAUGAUGGAGGGGUUUAGCUGGUUGGCUGUUAGUCUACAACGCGUCCGUGACGUUCUCGAAAGCCUGCAUCCUGGCGUAAUUCCACAUGCUGCCUUACAUGGAGUUCAGAAUGUUAUACACUUGAUUACAUUUAUCAAGUACAAAGGGGUUGAGUUUAGACGUGCUAGGACCCAGUUUAGAUUUAAGGUUGGAGAGCUUGCAACUCAACUUCACAAUGUCGGCACAAUCUUGCUCGAUCUGUCACAGCAGGUUUUAGAUGGCACCAUGGCCCUAGCGCUGUUUCAGGCGCGUGUCCCAGAGUGCAUCAAUGACAUUGACAAUGUGCUCAUUGCGGGCAUGCAAUUUUGAGGCACCAAGGCACUCCGUCUCCGAGGAGCUGUCUCCGAGGGCACCAAGGCCGUCACCAAGUUAACCUUCUGCAACUUGGCUUAUUCUACAACUUGAUACUUAUGUCUUGAUUUUGAAUGUCCCAUCUUUUACAUGCAUGGAACAAAUCAGGCCUACCAUGUUGUAGUAUGCUACUUGUGAUAAUUUGGUCUGUAUUCAAAUGUGCGUGGUACUGUAUCGGAUUAGAAAUAAUGCAUUUCAGCUACGUAUUAUACAUGUCUCUUGGUUGUUGGUCACCCAUCGUUACCUGGCUACAGGUUAUCCAAUCUAACUUGGCUAUAGGUUAUCUAUUGUAAUGAUGCAAUUUUUGCUAUGAUACAUGACUAACGUCUAAUGCUCUGGUUUUGUGACGGUUA